CCAUGGCCAGAGACUCUAGGACUCAGGUAAGGUACAAACAAAGAAACAUAAGAAGUGUGCAGCCUUCUAUGUUCAAUAAACUGUUAAAUAAUCUUUACUGUGUGUGUGUGUGUGUGUUGUGCAGCCUUAAUCAGAAGGGAAUUUAAAAAUAACAAAUUACUAAAUCAAACAUUAACCAAUAAACAAAGUAAAUUUAAAUAUAGCAAUAACCAAAUAAAUGGUGGUAGAAGCUAAACAUGAGGUGGGCUACGCACCCAUCACAAAUACACAUUACAACUACAACUACUAAUAAACCAAAUAAUGGCUUAUUUUCAGAUACAAAAGGUUUAAUUAGCAGGAAUAUUCAAUAAAUUUAAUGAACAAAUCUAAAAAUAAAAC